GUAGGGAGUUUUCGGCAAUGGGGGGAACCCUGACCGAGCAACGCCGCGUGAGUGAUGAAGGUCUUCGGAUCGUAAAGCUCUGUUGCGGGGGAAAAACGCGCCUUGGAGGAAAUGCCAGGGCGCUGAUGGUACCCCGCCAGAAAGUGACGGCUAACUACGUGCCAGCAGCCGCGGUAAUACGUAGGUCACGAGCGUUAUCCGGAAUUAUUGGGCGUAAAGAGUGAGCAGGCGGCUCGCUAAGUCCGAGGUGAAAGCGUGGGGCUCAACCCCAUACAGCCUUGGAAACUGGCGGGCUAGAGUGCGCGAGAGGUCAACGGAACUCCAUGUGUAGCGGUGAAAUGCGUAGAUAUAUGGAAGAACACCGGUGGCGAAGGCGGUUGGCCAGCGCUGCACUGACGCUCAGUCACGAAAGCGUGGGGAGCAAAUAGGAUUAGAAACCCUAGUAGUCC
rnacentral:rRNA from 1 species